AAAUUAAUAUCCUUUAUUUUAAAUUAAAUUAUAUACAAUUUUUAUAAAAAUUAUAAUAUAAUUUAAAUUUG
rnacentral:tRNA from 1 species